AUCCCUUACCUCUCCUAUCCAGCCACCGCCUCCCGCCCUUUCCAGAGAGCGAGCAAAGACGUGUUGAUCCUCCGGCCGCCCUCUUUUUUCAUUUCUAUUCGCACUCUCGCUGAGGCUCCCUCGAAUACGAGCCUCUCGCUCUUUCUGUCUGUCUGCCUAGCCAGUCCCCCAGCUGCUUCGCUCGCACCUCGCUAUUCGUCCACCGCACAGCUGCCCAUAAAGACACGCUCUCGCACUGCACAUACUCCCUCAACAGAAUACAGGAGAAAAUGCCGAACGUUAUCGUGACUUGUACCUUCAACCCCCCAUGUGUCUCCAUCCAUGGGGCGAAUAUCCGCCAAGACACAAUCGAUGCCCUUCAACGAGCACUGCCGAAGCAGACCACGACAAGUCUGCCUACACAGCGCCCCGGUGAGCCUGCCAAGUUCCUCCUGACGAACGGCAGCGGUGUGAUGCAGUCCGGCACAGUGAACCGCAUCGAGGACGGCAGUGCCGCCGCUGGUGGCGCGGAAGAGGGCAGCCAGGAGAACACCUCCCCGCACAACAGCUCGAACGGAGUGGCCCCUGGAGAAGGCGCCAAGGAGUACAAGAGCUGGCGCAUUGACCUCGGGCAGCACUACUGCGAUCAGAUGGGUCGCGCCAUGAUCUUUCUGGUCAUCAUCGAGGCGCUGGAGGAGGAGGGCUUUGCCCUGCGCGGCACGCACACCUUGAUGAUGGAUAGGGAGAAGGAUACUACCCAGCUCAUCUUCGUACGCUCGUAAAGGCACAACGCCUUCGAGGAAAGAAAACAGCAGCCAAGGAAGAAUGGGGCUUUCUUAGGAGUGAGCAAACACAGACGUUCGCGAAGUGCCGGUGCACUCGCGCGCGACAACGACGACCCGACAAAAGCGGCAUAUCCACUGGCAUACCCCCCCCCCCCCCCCCCCCCACACACACACACACACUAGCAUGUAAAGUUUUAUUUUCUCUUUCUCUCUCCGUAUUUCUCUUUUCUAUCUCGUGAGGUAUGUACAUAGGAAAAUGGGCAGCGUCGUCCCACGCGUGCGCGUGCGUGUGCGUGUGCCGUUGAUCCGUUCUUCGGCGCUCUCUGGAACGAAAGACGCUCUUGGGUUGCGUUGGUGGUGUUUACACAUGCAUGUGCGUGUAUGCACGUGCACGUAUAUGUAUAUAUAUAUAUAUAUAUAUAUAUAUAUCUAUGUGUGUGUGUGGACAGUCUGUAGGCAUCCUACCACUCUCGCGGCUCCCUCUUUGCGUGUUUUUUGUUCGUGUCGUCGUUCUCGCAGGUGGGGUUGGGGGUGGGGCGUGCAGCUGUGUCCCCACACGUUACGGAUUUCCCCCGCCAUGCGCCCACACCCCACCACCCGCCUUCCCUGUGGCAGCGAUGACAUUGAAGCGAUGGAGGGUCAACAGACAGAGAGAGGGUGAGCACGUGAGGCAGUUGCUGAUCGGAUAAACAGGCAACGUG
rnacentral:misc_RNA from 1 species